rnacentral:piRNA from 1 species
CAUGUUGUGAUUAUCUUAGUGGAAUGG